rnacentral:rRNA from 1 species
GUCCUUUUGGAUUUUUAUUUAAGGUCUAGUCUGCCCACUGAAUUUAUAUUUUAAAUGGCCGCAGUAUUUUGACUGUGCAAAGGUAGCAUAAUCAUUAGUUUUUUAAUUAAAAGCUUGUAUGAAAGGCUGGACGAGGUAAAAUCUGUCUCUAUUUAAAUUAUAAUAGAAUUUAUCUUUUAAGUUAAAAGACUUAAAUAUUAUUAAAAGACGAGAAGACCCUAUAGAUCUUUAUAAUUUGUUAAAUAAAGUUAAUUUAGAAAUUUUUAUGUUUUAUUUAAUUAAAUUAUUUUAUUGGGGUAAUAAAAAGAUUGAAUUAAUUCUUUUUUAUAAUUAACAUUAAUGUAUGAAUAUUAAUGAUCCAGUUUUACUGAUUAUAAGAUUAAGUUACCUUAGGGAUAACAGCGUAAUUUUUUUAGAGAGUUCAUAUCGAUAAAAAAGUUUGCGACCUCGAUGUUGGAUUAAAGAUUAUUUUAGGUGCAGAAGCUUAAUAAUUUUGGUCUGUUCGACCAUUAAAUCUUUAC